UUGGUUGCAUCGGUCAAGUAUGAUUUGGUAUGUAUUUUGGUUAAUUUGAAGAAUUGAUCAAGUGUUAAUUUAUGCAGUUUGUCUCCAAAAGCAAAACACUCUCGGCGUUCAUUAUCUCUUUCAAGUUGUAGCCUUUUGCGGCGACCUGGGAACUGCAUGUUAGGAUCUUGAUGGCAUGUGGUGCUCAAACGCCUGCAACUUUGUGGUAUGAGGUAACAAUGUUUUGUUGAUAAGCACCUCUGGAACACCUUAAUGUUGUGACUAACAAUAACACUAAUUUUAUAUUUAUUAAAGACAUGGUCUGCAAUUGUUGUAGACUGGAUGACAGUAGAUGGAUGAGUUGCAAUCUAAAAGCUGGAUCACUGAACAUAAUGCUAUUGGUAACAACAAUUACAAAUCAGCAGGGUUACAGUUUAAUAGCUUCAAAUAACCCAUGCUCUAAGUUCUGGGUUGAGCUUAUCCUUCUCUUUCGGGUUUCUUUUAUUGUCCUAUAUUGAGUUGGUUAUAUUUUACCUACAAAUGGUUCAUGGAUUCGUGUACUCCUCACAAUAGAAUUUUAACACUUGUGCAUGACAUUGAGUUCAAUUACUUUCCCCCUGGACUUUGCUCAAGAUUCGUUGUAGAUGGAUAUCUUCCUUUUGGUUACACUAACUUCGAUCUGGAAUUUUGACUUGUGGAGCAAGUCGUCAAAUUUUUCAUGCCUCAUUCUGGAUACUGAAUUGAGUUUUGUUUGUUUAAUUUUUUUUUGUUGCAGAUCUCGGUCAAGAUCCAGAUCUCCAAGUUUGUCUCCUCAACGUUACCAGAGUCGCAGUCCUAGCCGAAGUUCAAGGAGCCUGUAAGAAUCCGGGUUGGCUUAAGUGAGAUCUGAAUGCAUGCAGUCAAUGUUUUAAUCCGGGGAGACCACUAAUGAACAUGCAUUUUAAUUCUGUGCUACAUCUAAGGUCAAAUAUAGCUCUAUUACAGACAAGUCUUGUUUUAUAUUUGAAUCUUAAAUUUGAUAUGCGAUACUGUGAAACAAACCUCUUGUGCAUUUAAAUUUGAAGUGGAUGAUUAGAACGAA